rnacentral:rRNA from 1 species
GCCUAGCCAUAAACUUUGAUUAUCCGCCAGAGUACUACGAGCUACAGCUUAAAACUCAAAGGACUUGGCGGUGCUUUACACCCCCCUAGAGGAGCCUGUUCUAUAAUCGAUAAUCCCCGAUAAACCUCACCACCUAUUGCCAAUACAGCCUAUAUACCACCGUCCAGCCCGCCCUUUAAAGGGCAAACAGCAGGCAUAAUUAUAAACAUAAAAACGUCAGGUCAAGGUGUAGCAGAUAAGGUGGAAAGAAAUGGGCUACAUUUUCUAACUUAGAAAACACGGAUGAUUCUAUGAAAUAGUUUCUGAAGGAGGAUUUAGCAGUAAAAAGAAAUAAGAGUGUUCUUUUUAAAACGGCAAUAAAGCGCGC